AAUACAGAGGAAAAAUUUGAACUGAUUGCAACCUCUUCAUAAUGAAAUGGUUCGUUAUGAAUACUGAAAUGUUUUGAUUUCAGUAGUAAAAAAUGCUAAAGCAGGAACU
rfam:Flavobacterium sp. ABG contig01, whole genome shotgun sequence.